GACGGGGGGGGCAAGUGUUCUUCGGAAUUACUGGGCGUAAAGCGUGCGCAGGCGGUUUUGCAAGCCGGAUGUGAAAUCCCCGGGCUCAACCUGGGAAUGGCAUUCGGGACUGCAAGGCUGGAGUGCGGCAGAGGAGACUGGAAUUCCUGGUGUAGCGGUGAAAUGCGCAGAUAUCAGGAGGAACACCGGUGGCGAAGGCGGGUCUCUGGGCCGAUACUGACACUGAGGAGCGAAAGCGUGGGGAGCGAACAGG
rnacentral:rRNA from 1 species